CGACAUCCUGGGAAGUGAUCAGGAGGGAGAAAAGAUUAACAUCUUUGCCCUUCAGGAUGUCUUUUUUGAGAUUCGCAGGCACCAUGUGGGCUGGGUUAAAAACUUAAAAAUCCUGAACCAGAGGAUGCACUAUUACCUGGUUGUGUCUGGAACGGGCCUGGAAGUUCAGCAGCAAUGGAUCCUAUUGUCGGUAUGGGAAGACUAUGAGCUUCUGUACUGACGAUAUCAUCGUGUGGAGAUUGGUGUUGCUUGAGCUACACGUGCCCUCUCAAGCAUUUGUAUUGUCCAUAUUGGUCCGGAAGAGCCUGAAAAGCUCUGCUUUCCUGGCUAUUGCUGGAAAAGGGAUGUUGCAUCUAUAUAAUUCGGCUGUGAUGCG